GCGAGCGGCGGAUGGGUGAGUAACACGUGGGGAACCUGCCCCUAAGUCUGGGAUACCAUUUGGAAACAGGUGCUAAUACCGGAUAAUAAAGCAGAUCGCAUGAUCAGCUUUUGAAAGGCGGCGUAAGCUGUCGCUAAGGGAUGGCCCCGCGGUGCAUUAGCUAGUUGGUAAGGUAACGGCUUACCAAGGCGACGAUGCAUAGCCGAGUUGAGAGACUGAUCGGCCACAUUGGGACUGAGACACGGCCCAAACUCCUACGGGAGGCAGCAGUAGGGAAUCUUCCACAAUGGACGCAAGUCUGAUGGAGCAACGCCGCGUGAGUGAAGAAGGUUUUCGGAUCGUAAAGCUCUGUUGUUGGUGAAGAAGGAUAGAGGUAGUAACUGGCCUUUAUUUGACGGUAAUCAACCAGAAAGUCACGGCUAACUACGUGCCAGCAGCCGCGGUAAUACGUAGGUGGCAAGCGUUGUCCGGAUUUAUUGGGCGUAAAGCGAGCGCAGGCGGAAAAAUAAGUCUAAUGUGAAAGCCCUCGGCUUAACCGAGGAACUGCAUCGGAAACUGUUUUUCUUGAGUGCAGAAGAGGAGAGUGGAACUCCAUGUGUAGCGGUGGAAUGCGUAGAUAUAUGGAAGAACACCAGUGGCGAAGGCGGCUCUCUGGUCUGCAACUGACGCUGAGGCUCGAAAGCAUGGGUAGCGAACAAAAAUUAGAUACCCUGGUAGUCCCAUGCCCGUAAACGAUGAGUGCUUAAGUGUUGGGGAAGGUUUCCCGCCUCUCAGUGCU
rnacentral:rRNA from 1 species